UGAGUACUGUUUGAAAUGACCUAAAAUUAUCUAAAAUAACCUAAUGACUGGUAUUAUCUUAAUUGACCUAAAAUAAUUGAAAAAAACCUAUCAGGUUCCUUUGCACAGUGUCAUGACUAAAAUGACUGUGCUUAAACAAUUUACUUUUGAAGUGUACAGAAACCACGCCACAAAUAAGGGCAGCCCACAAAUGAAAGAAACCCUCAGUGUCUUCCCUUAUAUGAUGAUAGUUGCACCAAUCAAAACCUGAGCAAAACUUGAAACUUUACUUUAUAGGCCCCAGUUAUAUGGUCACGGGUACCAGAGACAACCCCACCCCUGAGUUAUGUUGGGCAAGCAACAAAAGAACAACAAAGAACAAGAGAAGAUCAAUGUAACAGAGCCAAAGUAGUCUCAGAGAUUUCAGUACAUGCUGAUCUGUUACCGGGAUCUCAAUGUGGUCUUCAUUCAUCAGGUAUGUCUGUAGUUUGGCACUCAUGGACUAAAAAUAAAAGAAAAAUAUUACUUGAUUUAUCAACUUUGUUUGUAUACAAGGACCACAGUUAAUUUUUAUUUUAUAGUUUGGGAGAAUUAAUUAAGCACAAAAUUAGGCAAAACUUGUAUAAAAAAGCUCUUGAUCUAUGAUCACCUUUUAAUAAUUGUUAAUUAAUUCAUUUUACAAUCACAGCAGUUUAUUAAUUAAGAUAAAUUGAUGAACAGAAUACAAGUAUUAGCUCGUAAUUAAAGAUCUGCAUCUCUAAAAAAUGGUAGUGAAGGAUAUGGUAGACAUUUGAGGGCUAAUUUUUGGGAGGCUUUUUUUUCAUGUUUAACUAAGCAAUAUUAUUUUAACUUUAGUUUCCAAGAAAAAUGUUGGUAAUAUAAUGAAAUGCACCCAAGUUAUUAAAAAAAAACAUAUUUUUGAA